CUAGAAAUAGAGAGGAUAGAGGAUAUAACUAUAACCAGUUUCUGACAGCACAGUUGAUGGAGCAACAAGUGCGGCUGACGGCGCUACAAGUUCAGGUUUAUUAUGGAACACAAAAGGAGAAGAAAACCUCGCUUCGUCCUUCCUCUUCGAAGGGGGUUUAACUACGACAAACCUAACUAGAAAAAAUCAUAAGGAAACCCUAAGCCUCUUCAAACGUACGGACGGGCAAAGCCGUAAUAGGGAAGAAUGGG
rnacentral:lncRNA from 1 species